rnacentral:rRNA from 1 species
UACGAAGGGGGGCUAGCGUUGCUCGGAAUUACUGGGCGUAAAGGGCGCGUAGGCGGAUCGUUAAGUCAGAGGUGAAAGCCCCAGGGGCUCAACCCCUGGAAUUGCCUUUGAUACUGGCGAUCUUGAGUACGGGAGAGGUGUGUGGAACUCCGAGUGUAGAGGUGAAAUUCGUAGAUAUUCGGAAGAACACCAGUGGCGAAGGCGACACACUGGCCCGUUACUGACGCUGAGGCGCGAAAGCGUGGGGAGCAAACAGG